rnacentral:rRNA from 7 species
AACUUUCAACAAUGGAUCUCUUGGUUCUGGCAUCGAUGAAGAACGCAGCGAAAUGCGAUAAGUAGUGUGAAUUGCAGAAUUCAGUGAAUCAUCGAAUCUUUGAACGCACAUUGCGCCCCUUGGUAUUCCAUGGGGCAUGCCUGUUCGAGCGUCAU